rnacentral:rRNA from 1 species
CAGCCGCCGCGGUAAUACGUAGGUGGCAAGCGUUGUCCGGAAUUAUUGGGCGUAAAGGGCUCGCAGGCGGUUUCUUAAGUCUGCUGUGAAAUCCCCGGGCUCAACCUGGGAAUGGCAGUGGAUACUGGCAAGCUAGAGUGUGUCAGAGGAUGGUGGAAUUCCCGGUGUAGCGGUGAAAUGCGUAGAUAUCGGAAGGAACACCAGUGGCGAAGGCGGCUACCUGGACUGAGACUGACACUGAGGCGCGAGAGCGUGGGUAGCAAACAGGAUUAGAUACCCGGGUAGUCCCUGUCUCUUAUAA